rnacentral:tRNA from 1 species
GCCGAAGUGGCUCAGUGGCAGAGCAAGUCAUUGGUAAUGACUAGGUCGCGGGUCCGAUUCCCGCCUUCGGCUCAA